AUACCGGGCCUUUUUGGGCUUGGUAAUUGGAAUGAGGGAGAGUUAAACGGACCAUCGAGUAUCCAUUGGAGGGCAGGUCUGGUGCCAGCAGCUGCGGUAAUACCAGCUCCAAUAGCGUAUAUUAAAGUUGUUGCAGUUAAAAAGCUCGUAGUUGGACUUGUGUGCGCUGUCCGCGGGUGGCCUGCGCCCAAAAGGGCGUUUCGGUUCGGCCCCGGUGGCGCCUUGAAAUCUGCAGCUGGGGGGACGUUGGCCUUAACUGGUCGGCGACCGCACGCCGGCUGCUCGGUUACUGUGAGAAAAUUAGAGUGUUCAAGGCAGGCAUUGGGUGCAAUUGAAUACAUUAGCAUGGAAUAAUAAAAUAUGGCUCCUGCCGUAUUUUGUUGGUUUUGACUGGUGGGAGUAAUGAUUGAUAGGGACGGUUGGGGGUGCUAGUAUUGAGCGGCCAGAGGUGAAAUUCAUGGAUUCGCUCAAGACUAACUUAUGCGAAAGCAUUCACCAAGGACGUCCUCUUUAAUCAAGAACGAAAGUUGGGGGAUCGAAGACGAUCAGAUACCGUCGUAGUCUCAACCAUAAACUAUGUCGACUUGGGAUCGGCGGUAGUUUUUUCAUUAAGACACUGUCGGGACCACGGGAGAAAUCAAAGUGUCUGGACUCUGGGGGAAGUAUGGUCGCAAGGCUGAAACUUGAAGGAAUUGACGGAAGGGCACCACCAGGAGUGGAGCCUGCGGCUUAAUUUGACCCAACACGGGGAAACUUACCAGGUCCAGAGAUGUAGAGGAUUGACAGAUUGACGCUCUUUCUUGAUCACUUCGGUGGUGGUGCAUGGCCGUUCUUAGUUGGUGGAGUGAUUUGUCUGGUUAAUUCCGUUAACGAACGAGACCUCAGCCUGCUAGUGUAGUCGGCUGGAUUGCCUUUGGCGAUCCGUGAUUUCGACUUCUUAGAGGGACAAUCGACGCGCAGUCGAUGGAAGUUUGAGGCAAUAACAGGUCUGUGAUGCCCUUAGAUGUUCUGGGCCGCACGCGCGCUACACUGCUGGGCUCAGCGAGUUUUACUUGGCCGAGAGGCCCGGUUAAUCUUGUGAAAUCCCAGCGUGCUUGGGCUCGCCUCCUGCAACUGGAGGCGCCAACGAGGAAUUCCUAGUAGACGCAGGUCAUCAACCUGCAUCGAUUACGUCCCUGCCCUUUGUACACACCGCCCGUCGUUCCAUAAGAGUGAGGCAUCCGGUGAAUUCUCGGGAGAGCCUGGGCGUGGCCAGCAAUGGUCUGCUCGGGUUUGAACUUGCAUAAACUUGGUGCCUAUGAUUAGGGAAAAGUCGUAACAAGGUUUCCGUAGGAACCUGCGGAAG
rnacentral:rRNA from 1 species